rnacentral:rRNA from 1 species
UACGGGGGGGGCAAGCGUUGUUCGGAAUUACUGGGCGUAAAGGGCUCGUAGGCGGCCAACUAAGUCAGGGGUGAAAUCCUGGAGCUCAACCUCAGAACUGCCUUUGAUACUGGAGAGCUUGAGUCCGGAAGAGGUGAGUGGAACUCCGAGUGUAGAGGUGAAAUUCGUAGAUAUUCGGAAGAACACCAGUGGCGAAGGCGGCUCACUGGUCCGGUACUGACGCUGAUGUGCGAAAGCGUGGGUAGCAAACGGG